rnacentral:lncRNA from 1 species
AUCCGAGCAUUGAAAAUGAUGCAAUUAGUCUUGUGCUAUUGAACAUCGUCAGGAGUACUAAAGGACUCUCUCAAUACUAGGAGUAUUUCCUCUAGCUGAGCCUCUUCAAAUUUUUGGCUGAACUCAUCAUUCAUGGAGGCCCACAUAAUGCAAAGAAUCAUGGUGCGGUCGUUGAGCCACUUCAAAUAGUAUCUCGAAUCAUGCCUCAGGCAUUGGGAGCAGGCUCCUCAGGUGCUAGAUCCGUAAUCACAUAUAGGAUCCGCUCAUGCUCUAAGAUGAUCUUAAGCUUUUGAUACCAGUUAUCGAACUUGGAUCCCGUCAACUUCUUACUAUCUAAUA